rnacentral:rRNA from 1 species
UGCAAGUCGAACGAACCUUCGGGUUAGUGGCGGACGGGUGAGUAACGCGUGAGAAUCUGCCCUCAGGAGGGGGAUAACAGUUGGAAACGACUGCUAAUACCCCAUAUGCCGAGAGGUGAAACGAAUUUCGCCUGGGGAUGAGCUCGCGUCUGAUUAGCUUGUUGGUGGGGUAAUGGCCUACCAAGGCUUUGAUCAGUAGCUGGUCUGAGAGGACGAUCAGCCACACUGGGACUGAGACACGGCCCAGACUCCUACGGGAGGCAGCAGUGGGGAAUUUUCCGCAGUGGGCGAAAGCCUGACGGAGCAACGCCGCGUGAGGGAUGAAGGCCUUUGGGCUGUAAACCUCUUUUCUCAAGGAAGAAGAUCUGACGGUACUUGAGGAAUAAGCCACGGCUAAUUCCGUGCCAGCAGCCGCGGUAAUACGGGAGUGGCAAGCGUUAUCCGGAAUUAUUGGGCGUAAAGCGUCCGCAGGCGGCCGUUUAAGUCUGUUGUUAAAUUGUGGAGCUCAACUCCAUCACGGCAAUGGAAACUGUUCGGCUUGAGUAUGGUAGGGGCAGAGGGAAUUUCCGGUGUAGCGGUGAUAUGCGUAGAUAUCGGGAAGAACACCUGUGGCGAAAGCGCUCUGCUGGGCCAUUACUGACGCUCAUGGACGAAAGCCAGGGGAGCGAAAUGGAUUAGAUACCCAUGUAGUCCUGGCCGUAAACGAUGAACACUAGAUGUUGGGGGAAUCGACCCCCUCAGUGUCGUAGCUAACGCGUUAAGUGUUCCGCCUGGGGAGUACGCACGCAAGUGUGAAACUCAAAGGAAUUGACGGGG